CACGUAGUUAGCCGGUGCUUAUUCUUCAGGUACCGUCAUUAGCCAAGGAUAUUAGCCUCAACCGUUUCUUCCCUGACAAAAGAGCUUUACAACCCGAAGGCCUUCUUCACUCACGCGGCGUUGCUGGAUCAGGCUUGCGCCCAUUGUCCAAAAUUCCCCACUGCUGCCUCCCGUAGGAGUCUGGACCGUGUCUCAGUUCCAGUGUGGCUGGUCGUCCUCUCAGACCAGCUACUGAUCGUCGCCUUGGUGAGCCUUUACCUCACCAACUAGCUAAUCAGAUAUCGGCCGCUCCAGGAGCAUGAGGUUCUUGCGAAUCCCCAUUUCAUCCUUGGAUCGUAUGCGGUAUUAGCGUAACUUUCGCUUACGUUAUCCCCACUCUUGGGUACGUUCCGAUAUAUUACUCACCCGUUCGCCACUCGCCGCCAGGUUCGCCCCGCGCUGCCGUUCGACUUGCAUGUGUAAAGCAUGCCGCCAGCGUUCAAUCUGAGCCAGGAUA
rnacentral:rRNA from 1 species